GUCUUUAAGAAAUUAAUUUUAAGUCUAAUCUGCCCACUGAAUUUUUUUAAAUGGCUGCAAUUUUAUUGUACUAAGGUAGCAUAAUAAUUUGUUUUUUAAUUAAAAACUAGAAUGAAAGAUUGAAUGAAAUAUAAACUUUUUUAAUUAAAUUUUAAUUAAAUUUUUUAUUUAAGUAAAAAAACUUAAAUUUAUAUUAAAGACGAUAAGACCCUAUAGAAUUUUAUUUAAUAGUUUUUUAUAAAAAAAUUAUUAAAUUUUAUUGGGGUAAUAAAAAAAUUAAAUAAAUUUUUUUUAAAAAAUAUAUUUUAAAUAAAUAAAUUAUCUUAAAAUUUAAAUUAAAAAAAUUAAUUACCUUAGGGAUAACAGCAUAAUUUUUUUUGAAAGAUCAUAUUUAUAAAAAAGAUUAU
rnacentral:rRNA from 1 species